AAGUCGUAACAAGGUCUCCGUUGGUGAACCAGCGGAGGGAUCAUUACCGAGUUUACAACUCCCAAACCCCUGUGAACAUACCUAUAAUUUGCCUCGGCGGACUCAACGACGGUGCUCCGAGAAAUCGGGCGCCGCUCGCUGCCAGAGGAACCCCAAACUCUAUGUAUUCUUGUGGAUCUUCUGAGUAAAACAAAACAAAUAAAUCAAAACUUUCAACAACGGAUCUCUUGGUUCUGGCAUCGAUGAAGAACGCAGCGAAAUGCGAUAAGUAAUGUGAAUUGCAGAAUUCAGUGAAUCAUCGAAUCUUUGAACGCACAUUGCGCCCGCCAGUAUUCUGGCGGGCAUGCCUGUUCGAGCGUCAUUUCAACCCUCAAGCCCCCGGGCUUGGUGUUGGGGAUCGGCGAUAGUCGCCGUCCCCCAAAUCUAGUGGCGGUCUCGCUGUAGCCUCCAUUGCGUAGUAGCUAACACCUCGCAACUGGAACGCGGCGCGGCCAAGCCGUUAAACCCCCAACUUCUGAAUGUUGACCUCGGAUCAGGUAGGAAUACCCGCUGAACUUAA
rnacentral:rRNA from 1 species